rnacentral:rRNA from 1 species
AUUGAACGCUGGCGGCAGGCCUAACACAUGCAAAUCGAGCGGAUGAAGGGAGCUUGCUCCUGGAUUCAGCGGCGGACGGGUGAGUAAUGCCUAGGAAUCUGCCUGGUAGUGGGGGAUAACGUCCGGAAACGGGCGCUAAUACCGCAUACGACCUGAGGGAGAAAGUGGGGGAUCUUCGGACCUCACGCUAUCAGAUGAGCCUAGGUCGGAUUAGCUAGUUGGUGGGGUAAAGGCCUACCAAGGCGACGAUCCGUAACUGGUCUGAGAGGAGGAUCAGUCACACUGGAACUGAGACACGGUCCAGACUCCUACGGGAGGCAGCAGUGGGGAAUAUUGGACAAUGGGCGAAAGCCUGAUCCAGCCAUGCCGCGUGUGUGAAGAAGGUCUUCGGAUUGUAAAGCACUUUAAGUUGGGAGGAAGGGCAGUAAGUUAAUACCUUGCUGUUUUGACGUUACCAACAGAAUAAGCACCGGCUAACUUCGUG